CCUACGGGGGGCUGCAGUGGGGAAUAUUGGACAAUGGGGGCAACCCUGAUCCAGCCAUGCCGCGUGUGUGAAGAAGGCCCUCGGGUUGUAAAGCACUUUCAGUGAGGAAGAACGCCUGGUGGUUAAUACCCAUCAGGAAAGACAUCACUCACAGCAGAAGCACCGGCUAACUCCGUGCCAGCAGCCGCGGUAAUACGGAGGGUGCGAGCGUUAAUCGGAAUUACUGGGCGUAAAGCGCGCGUAGGUGGCUUGAUAAGCCGGUUGUGAAAGCCCCGGGCUCAACCUGGGAACGGCAUCCGGAACUGUGAAGCUAGAGUGCAGGAGAGGAAGGUAGAAUUCCCGGUGUAGCGGUGAAAUGCGUAGAGAUCGGGAGGAAUACCAGUGGCGAAGGCGGCCUUCUGGACUGAAACUGACGCUGAGGUGCGAAAGCGUGGGUAGCAAACAGGAUUAGAUACCCUAGUAGUC
rnacentral:rRNA from 1 species